UUUCAAUUUUCCUCCUCCUAGGUGAAGGCAGUCCACGAGCCACUCCAAUGAUCCACGUGGACGUGCCCGAUGCACGGGACUCACCAGGGUCCGCAUCCACACUCAACUUCUGCGAUCCUGUCCGGGAACAAGAGGUGUCCCUUGAUGAGCUGGACCAGCCAGUCGCUCUGCCAGGACCCUCACCCAAAGGUGAAGAGAGUGCGCGUGUCAACGAGAUGACCCACGUGAUCGUGACCGAUUCAAGGGACGCGGUGGAGACCGUAUGCGCCCCCAGUCUCCUCGAUUGCAGCCAGGAUCCGAAG
rnacentral:lncRNA from 1 species